rnacentral:tRNA from 1 species
AGUCUAGUAGCUCAGAUUGGCAGAGCGCCAGAUUGAGGAUCUGGAGGCCAGAGGUUCGACUCCUCUCUAGACUGCCA